GGGAUUGCCCUAGUAACGGCGAGUGAAGCGGCAACAGCUCAAAUUUGAAAUCUGGCCUUCGGGUCCGAGUUGUAAUUUGUAGAGGAUGCUUUUGGCGCGGUGCCUUCCGAGUUCCCUGGAACGGGACGCCUUAGAGGGUGAGAGCCCCGUACGGUUGGACACCAAGCCUCUGUAAAGCUCCUUCGACGAGUCGAGUAGUUUGGGAAUGCUGCUCUAAAUGGGAGGUAAAUUUCUUCUAAAGCUAAAUAUUGGCCAGAGACCGAUAGCGCACAAGUAGAGUGAUCGAAAGAUGAAAAGCACUUUGAAAAGAGGGUUAAAUAGCACGUGAAAUUGUUGAAAGGGAAGCGUUUGCGACCAGACCUCUUCCUGGCGGAUCAUCCGGUGUUCUCACCGGUGCACUUUGCCAGGUGGAGGCCAGCAUCGGUUUUCGUAGGGGGAUAAAAGCUUGGGGAACGUAGCUCCCUCGGGAGUGUUAUAGCCCCUCGCACAAUACCCUUACGGGGACCGAGGACCGCGCCUUCGGGCAAGGAUGCUGGCAUAAUGGUCGUCAACGACCCGUCUUGAAACACGGACCAAGGAGUCGAACAUUUGUGCGAGUGUUAGGGUGUCAAACCCUCACGCGUAAUGAAGGUGAACGGAGGUGAGAGCCCUUGCGGGUGCAUCAUCGACCGAUCCUGAUGUCUUCGGAUGGAUUUGAGUAAGAGCAUAACUGUUCGGACCCGAAAGAUGGUGAACUAUGCGUGGAUAGGGUGAAGCCAGAGGAAACUCUGGUGGAGGCUCGCAGCGGUUCUGACGUGCAAAUCGAUCGUCAAAUCUGCGCAUGGGGGCGAAAGACUUAUCGAACCAUCUAGUAGCUGGUUACCGCCGAAGUUUCCCUCAGGAUAGCAGUGUUGUUCUUCAGUUUUAUGAGGUAAAGCGAAUGAUUAGGGACUCGGGGGCGCUUUUUAGCCUUCAUCCAUUCUCAAACUUUAAAUAUGUAAGAAGCCCUUGUUACUUCAUUGAACGUGGGCAUUCCAAUGUACCAACACUAGUGGGCCAUUUUUGG
rnacentral:rRNA from 1 species